GAUGAACGCUGGCGGCGUGCCUAAUACAUGCAAGUCGAGCGAACGGACGAGAAGCUUGCUUCUCUGAUGUUAGCGGCGGACGGGUGAGUAACACGUGGAUAACCUACCUAUAAGACUGGGAUAACUUCGGGAAACCGGAGCUAAUACCGGAUGAUAUUUUGAACCGCAUGGUUCAAAAGUGAAAGACGGUCUUGCUGUCACUUAUAGAUGGAUCCGCGCUGCAUUAGCUAGUUGGUAAGGUAACGGCUUACCAAGGCAACGAUGCAUAGCCGACCUGAGAGUGGGAUCGGCCACACUGGAACUGAGACACGGUCCAGACUCCUAAGGGAGGCAGCAGUAGGGAAUCUUCCGCAAUGGGCGAAAGCCUGACGGAGCAACGCCGCGUGAGUGAUGAAGGUCUUCGGAUCGUAAAACUCUGUUAUUAGGGAAGAACAUAUGUGUAAGUAACUGUGCACAUCUUGACGGUACCUAAUCAGAAAGCCACGGCUAACUACGUG
rnacentral:rRNA from 1 species